UUAACUGUGAAACCUUCAGGAAACUCAUUAGUAACUAUGAAUCUUCUAAUUUCUAAUUUGUAAUAUGAAGAAAAGAAGCACACUACAUAACAUGCCAUAUGGAUGAAAUGAAAUGUAGGAAAAAAUAGUUUGAUACAAUACCUGGCACAAAAUCAAUGCUCAGUGGUAAUGGUGAGAAGAAAAAGAUGAUACAGCUCAUUCAAAGUUGAAGAAAAUAAGUUUAUGAGGAUCCUAUCGCUGCUUAAAAAUGAAAACAGGAUUUGAACCUAGGCCUCCUCUUUCCAGAUUUUUCAUUCAUAACCAUGAAUCAUAAAAAAAAACUUCAUCAUGCACAAAUUAUAUUUAAAUGUUUGAAUUUUCUUCUGAUACAUGUUAUUUUUUUUCACUCAUGUUAAAUUAAGAAAAAAAUUUUAAAAACCACCUUUGUGAAAACCAAAAAUAAAUGCUCACUCACAGAGAAUGGAAAACACGGAUUCAGAACCAUGAGCCUUCUUUAAUGAGAAAUGGAGACGAAUCUGUUUCGUGAGUCUUGGACACUUUGGACAGAGCAAAGAUGUUAAAAGCGGACAGAGAAGAGAGGAGAUCGGUGAAAUUGUUUCCUUUGAGAGAACCCUUACAGAUCAUUGGGUACCCUUUCCCUAGCCGUUCUGGGGGAAGGUGAAAGAAUGAUACCUUCUGGUGCUAGUUUAGUGAUGUGGGCUUCAAUGGGAUCACUCAGUUAUGAAAUUUGUUUCGUGAAGUUGGCACACAGAAAAGAUUGGUGUCUGUUCACGUCUGAGAAAGCUAAAGUCGAAAUCACACAGGAAUAAGCUAAAACUGACAUCUGUUGAGGAAAUUCAGAGGGUGAGAGAAGAGAGAGCUUCUGUGUUGAAAUAAGCCUGCUUUUUGAGCUUCUCAGAGCAAAACUUUUUUUCUGGUUGAUCAAGGAAGAUCAUGGGUGUUGGAGAUUUAAAACAGUGCCAUUUGGAGACCUUUCCAAGUAGGUACCUGAGGAGUAAAAAAAACAACCUCAGCAGAAGAAGGCUGGGGAUAUCAAGUGGCUGGUGACCAAGUCCAGUAAGUGUCCCUUUAGACGCACCCCCUGGGAGAAGAAAUUGCAGAAGUGAGAGGCCCAGUUGGAAUCACUGAAAAAGCCCUAGGACUGCCCAUGACAGAGUCAGCCUGAAAAUCAGGACCAGUGAGCAUGUAGCCGGUUUAGGACUGAGGUCAAGACCAAUCCCUUUACCUCUUCUGUGCUCUACUUCUGUUUGAUCUUACCAAAAGCUAAAACAGCAGCAAAUAAGGAGUUUAGAAGAAAGAGAAAAUACAAGAAGGAGAGACAUCAGCUAAUUUCAACCCUGUCCAUUGAACCUGGCUACUAAGUGCUAGUAUGGGAGAGAGGGAAAACUUAAUAUUCAGUUACAUUUAGUAAUUUGAUUAAUAGCUGAGGCUUGGUAUAUUAAUUAUAGAAUUGAAACUGUGUCUGAUGUGCAUUGAAACUGUGUCUUAUGGCUGAAUUUUAUCCUUCCAAAAUUCAUAUGUUGAAGUCCUAAACCCCAGCGCCUCAGGAUGUGACUGUGUUUAGGGAUAAAUUCUUUAAAGAGGUGGUUAAGUUAAAAUGAGUACUUAAGGAUGGACCCUAAUGCAAUAUAGCUGAUAACCUUACAAGGAGACAAAUUUUUGACACGGAGAGACAAAUACCAGGCAGGAGUGUGCAUGGAGGAAAGGUCGUGUGCGAACACAGCAAGAAGGGGACCAUCUAUCUGCAAGCCACGGAGGGAAGCAUCAGAAGACGUCAAACCUACCUACAUCUUGAUCUUAGAACUUCCAGACUCCAGAACUGUGACAAACAAAUUUCUGUCACGUAAGCCAUUUUGUUAUGACAACCCCAGCAAACGAAUUCACCAGGUUAAUGUGAUCACAAGACCUGAGUUUUCAUCCUGGGUAAGAAGCAUGUUGAGAGUAUCUUUUUUUCUGGAAUUCUGGAAAUUAUUUAUUAGAAUGUGUUAGUGUAUCCAACAGUGAAAAAACUAAAAAAAAUAAAAUUAAAAAAUCUGAGGUUUUCUUAAAACUGAA